rnacentral:rRNA from 1 species
UACGGAGGGUGCGAGCGUUGUCCGGAAUCACUGGGCGUAAAGGGCGCGUAGGCGGUUUGUUAAGUCACUUGUGAAAUCCCGGUGCUCAACGCCGGGGCUGCAGGUGAGACUGGCAGACUGGAGCUCGGUAGAGGCGAAUGGAAUUCCCGGUGUAGCGGUGGAAUGCGUAGAUAUCGGGAAGAACACCGGUGGCGAAGGCGGUUCGCUGGG